UACAGAGGUCUCAAGCGUUGUUCGGAUUCACUGGGCGUAAAGGGUGCGUAGGUGGCGAGGUAAGUCGGAUGUGAAAGCUCGGAGCUCAACUCCGAAAUGGCAUUGGAAACUACCUUGCUCGAGGGUUGGAGGGGGGACUGGAAUGCUUGGUGUAGCGGUGAAAUGCGUAGAUAUCUGGAGGAACACCGGUGGCGAAGGCGGCAUCCUGGACCAAUUCUGACGCUGAGGAGCGAAAGCCAGGGGAGCAAACGGG
rnacentral:rRNA from 1 species